rnacentral:tRNA from 1 species
UUAAAAAUAAGUUAAUUAAACUUCUAGACUCAUAAUCUAACAAUAGGCACCAUACACCUUUUUUAAA